CAUGGUGCUGGUUGCCCAAGUUACAGGGGUUUGCUUUUGAUCCUUGAGUGGACCACAGACAUUUUUAAACAGGAAGAGAACUGGGAAUAACCCUGGUUCACUACCAAAAAUAGUCAUACCUUCCUGUCAGUUGCUGGGAAUAGGCCACAUCCACUGUGAUUGAAUUGGCCUCGUUAGCACUGACCCCCCACUUGGUAAGGCAACUCCCAUCUUUUCAUGUACCUGCUUACUGUAUUUUCUGCUCCAUGGAUCUGAUGAAGUGGGUUAUAUCCCGUGAAAGCUUAUGCCCAAAUAAAUUUGUUAGUCUCUAAGGUGCCACAAGGACUCCUUGUUGUUUCCACUUUUUUAUGUUGGAUUUUCAAAUGAAGAUCAGUAGUGCUUAAAAACGUAUGGUGAUUUUGGGAUUUGGAGAGAACUUGAUGAAUCCCCAGAAAAUGCCCGAAUCCUUUAGAAUAAUAAAUAACAAAAGGCCGCAAAUCAAAAUAAAUGGAAUUUGGUCCUUGUAUUUGUAAAAAUAUUCAUAAAUAUUGCCUUUUAAACUUCAAUCCUUUCUACUAGCUGAUCAGUUGGCGGCUGAUCAGCACCUCAGACUGUUCAUCUCUCAUAGCACUAACAAGAACUAAGACUGUUGUAGGCCUCAGAUACUGGCUGCACUUCCUUCUUAGCUACUGGAAGAACAUGGAAGUCAGUAUGUAAUAACAAGCUUUCUGUGCAUUUGCAAGCUGGAAUCACAUCCUCAUUUCACAGCUCUCUGUGCCAAGGACUGCAUGUGUCUCUCCCCCAUCGGCCUGAAGGUUGCAGCCAGGAAUCUGGAUCCAGAGCGUUUCAUUUCUCAUUUCAGGCUAUGUUUGACAUUGCUGUCUAGCUCUCCUGAGGAGGAGUGGGAGGAGCUAGCAGGAUGGCAGAAGUUGCUGUAGAAGGAUGUGAUGAGGGACAACGACAAGACUUUGGUCUCACUGGGCAUCCUGUCAACAAAUCGGACAUUGUGUCCCUGAUUGAACAUGAGGAAGAGCCAUGUGUCCGAGCUCACCAGGAUUCGAGGGAAAGAGGCUUUUCUAGAGGGGUCUCCUCUGCAGAUAAUGGAAUCAAGUGGAAGACUGAAGAGAAUCAUCAGCAGGGAAAUUCUGAGGGUUUGGCAGAGCACAGGAAUUUAUCACAAAGAGAGAAAGCAAAUAGCUCUGAUGAGGGAAAUAUGUGUGAGGGUGAACACAGACCAGCCGGUCAACACAGGAACAUAGAGGAUGAGAGCCUGGAGAAAUCCAAUCCAAAUGAAAGACCUUUCAGCAAAUGCCAAAACAUUCCUAUCCGCACAGGAGAGAGACCCCAUAAAUGUACUGAGUGUGACAAAAGCUUCACUCGCCGCUCACAUCUUCUUCAGCACCAGAGAAUCCACACAGGGGAGAGGCCCUAUAAGUGUACCGAGUGUGAGAAAAGCUUCAGACAGAGAUCAGAGCUGAUUGAUCAUCAGCGAACGCAUACUCAAGAGAAACCCUACAAAUGUGACAAGUGUGGGAAAAGGUUCAUUCGGAGCACACGGCUUAUUCAGCAUCAAAAUGUUCACAAUGGCGUGAAACCCCACAAGUGCCCCCAGUGUGAGAAAAGUUUUAGCUGGAUCUCAUCGGUUAUUAAACACCAGAGAGUCCAUACAGGUGAGAAACCCUAUAAAUGCCCCGACUGUGAGAAAACCUUCAGCUGGAGCUCAACCCUUAUAAAGCAUCGGAGACUCCACACAGGAGAGAGACCCUAUAAAUGCCCUACCUGUGCAAAGUGUUUUGUACAGAGUGCAAAUCUUAUUAAACAUCAGAGAAUCCACACAGAACAGAAACCCUAUGCAUGUGGGGAAUGUGAGGAAACCUUUCUGAUCAGGUCUCAUUUCAUUCUGCAUCAGAGAAUGCACGCAGGAGAGGAACUCUACAAGUGCGAUGGCUGUGAGGAGUGGUUUGGUCUUGUCUCGGACCUUCAUAAACAUCAGAAGAGCCACACAGGAAAGAAGCCCUAUAAAUGCUCCGAAUGCAACAAAAGCUUCAACAAGAGUUCAAAUCUUAUUAAGCAUCAGAGAAUCCACACGGGAGAGAGACCCUAUAAGUGUCCCGACUGUGACAAAAGCUUCAUUCAGAGCUCUCACCUGAUGUUCCAUCAGAGAGCGCACCGGGGAGAAAAACCCUACAAAUGCCUGGACUGUGAGAAAAGUUUCCACCAGAGCUCCCAUCUCAUUCAGCACCAGAGAGUCCACACGCAAGAAAAACCCUUUAAAUGUCCUGAGUGCGAGAAAAGUUUCAGCCGAAGCUCAGUGCUAAAUAAACACAAACUAAUCCACGUGGAAGACCAGAGCUAUAAAUGCAGCCAGUGUGAGGAAACCUUCAACAGCAACUCCCGCCUUCUUCAGCACAAGAGAACCCACCAUGUGGAAAGACCUUACACAUGCCCUCGCUGUGAGAAGAGUUUCAGUCACAGUUCGCAGCUUAUGCUCCAUCAGAAAAACCACACAGCAGAGAAACCUUACAAGUGUGUUGACUGUGACAAAGGCUUCAUUUACAGCUCACAUCUAAUUCAACAUCAGAGAACUCACACUAGAGAGCGACCUUAUAAAUGUCCAGUGUGUGAGAAAAGCUUCAUUCAGAGCUCACAUCUCCUUCAGCAUCAGAAAAUCCACACGGGAGAGAGACCUUUUAGAUGCAGUGAUUGUGAGAAAACCUUCAAUCGGAGCUCCAACCUUAUUAAACACCAGAGAACUCACACCAGGGAGAACCUGUAAGAGAUGCUUCCAUAUGAACUCCACGCUCUUGACUAUAAGAGUAUUCACACAGAAGGAAAAUCCUAUAAAUAGGUUGCCUUUACUGCUGGUUGUUACCAUCUGGUAAGCUUUGCUGGGCUGAAGACAGGAACAACUAGCUUCUCUGUUCCGUUGGAUUGGCUGGAAUAUAUUGAUGUAAUUCUUCAGUGCCUAGUACAUUAGCAACAACUUUGCCACAUUUGGUUACUGGACAGUGAGCUUAUACGCAUCUGCUUUAAUCUCUGACCUGACUUUGGUUCAUAGACUCUAGUUCAGCCCUUAGCUCUUGUUCCAGGCCCAGUGCUCCAGGCUUCUCUCCCUACUACAAGGGGUAUCGACCACAUGGCCUCCUAGGGCCUUUCCUUCUCUGUUCUAUCAAUCCCUCAGUUCAUUGUAAUUACUUUAACCUCUAAUCAGCAGUUCAUACUUUAUACCAGGGUCCCCAACACGGUGCCCACGGGCACCAUGGCACCUUCGGGUGCAUCUAAGGGCACUCAUGUACUGGCCGGCGGAUGAGCAUCCACUGAAAUGCUGCCAACAAGCAGCAUCAUCCAGAGGUGGCAUUUCAGCAGCGAUUCCUCUAGAUGACGCUGUUUGUUGGCGGCAUUUCGGCAGCAACACCUAUUGAUGUUGCCACUUGGCGGCGGUAUUUUGGCGGAUGCUUGUCUGCUGCCACAGUCCUUCAUGGCUCGUCGUCUGGCACCCACCAGACAAAAAAGGUUGGGGACCACUGCUUUAUACUGUUGCAUUUAAAGCUUUGUUCAGUGCUGAUAAGGAUUGUCAUUUAUUUUGAGGCUAUUUUGUACUGACUUUCUGCUAUAAGUUUCUGUUUCUAGCAGUAGGUUGUGGAAGAAGGUUAUAGUAGUUCACUAGAAUCAGGAAGCAGAGUGUCUCAUUAGAGCACAUGAGGGUUUUGGUUUUUUGUAGGUAUUGAUGAAAUAGCCUUUUUUCUUGUCAUGGAGGCUUUGUUCAUCUGUAAUUGGUGGUGCUGGAACUGAUUAUUUGUCCCUGGAGAUCUCAACUACUGUAACUAUGCAGUCCCAGGGAAUCUACAACACUGAGAAAUCGGUCUGAGGAAAGCUUCCUUUGGUGUUCGUUCAGCACGAAAGUUGAAGAACCCAUAAGAUAGGCGCACCUGGGGUAAGCUGAUCAAACAAUGCAGGAGAAAGGUCCAUGUGCAGUCAGCCAGGUCCUCCUCUCUAGGAUCAGUCUGGAGUUCAUCUCUUGUAUGACCCUUGGAUGUGGAGCCCAGCCUUCUCAGAUGCAUUUUCUCCACUUUCCGUCUCUCAAGAAGCCAGUCUUACAGCCCCUCCUUUCAACACCUGGGCAGCAGAAAGGGGAAGCUGAGGAGAAGUUAACCAUUAUUUACUUGGGAGCAGGUAAGGCCCCUGCACCUUGUCACACCCUGUAAGUAGGCUCAGUGCUGAGUUGAACCAGAAAUCCCAAAUCAGUGGGGGCUGGAGAACUUUUUCCUUAGUCUAUAAGGGCCUGUUUUCAUUGCAAAGUUAGCCCAGGUGCUUACUCAGAUGUUGCCCCAACUCCCCACUCAUCCACACCAAACCCUUUCAACUGAGUUUGGUGGCACUCUAAACGCAGGGUAUCUGGCACUGCUGGGUUGUGGGCUAGAGCCAGGAUGAUGCUUUACACUCAAUCUGGAGGUCAUCUACUUUGCAGUGUGGACACAGGCUAACCCACUCAAGUGCUGAUGUGUAAGGCUAUGAUUUUGGCAUGGAAAUUUUUAGUAGAUUUCACAGCAGAGGUGCAGGAAAAACAUCCAAAGUCCCAGAAAGAUCACCAAACAUGUAGUUUUUGCUGCAUCAAUGUACACAAGAGCUUUUAAGUAGUAAAAGUGUCUGAUAUUAACACACUGAUCAGUGAUGAUAGAUGUACAAUUAAAAUCAAUAAUUUACUCCUGGUGGAAUUCUGCAACAAACAAUUUAAAAAUUCUACACACAAUAUUUAAAAAUUCUGCAUAUUUUAUUUGUCAAAAUAUCACACUGUAAUCACAACAGUUUCAAUUAUUUUUGGUCAUUUAUUUCAAAAUACCUGUCAGCAAUAUGUCUAUAACAAACAGAUUCAGGAACUGUAUUUUGACAAAUAGCUUCCUUACUAGGCAUAUUAAUACAGCACUGAGUAAUAAUUCCUUUAAAGCCUGGCUUACAGCUGUUAGGAGAAUGUGAAGUAAAUAGGGUAAAAACUAAACAAUAAUAAUCUUGCUUCUGGCUUUUUAAUUUAAACAGGCUAAAUAAGCAAGCAAGAGAAUGUAAGUGAAAGCAUGAGGCCACACCCACUCACACGAGCUGCUAGCCUUGCCUUUCAGUAACAAGAGAAGAUAAGGGGACCUAAUCAAGCAAGGAGUUGCUAAGGUAAUGACACAGCUGGAGUGGAGGGGAAGGUGUAAGGAAGAGACAUGAAGUCAGCAAGAAAGUGACUAUGGCCAAAAGUAACCCAUCUCCCUACACCUCUCAGGUAGAAAAGAGGUGGUCUUCCUGACCCAAGACCCCCUAGAAUGGAACAUAACCAUAUAUUGGAAGGGGUGGCAUCAGGGAAGGGGCACAACAUUUAGCCUCUGCCCCAGUCUCUCCUCCCCCACUAGCCCUUAUGAGCCCCUGCCUGACCCUCCCCACCUCCACACCAUAUGCUGUGUUUCCCCAUAGCCCCUGUUUCCUGACCUGGUCUGGCAGGUGCUAUGAAGAAAGCAAGCUUUUUCUCUUCCCUAGCUGGCCAGAAGCUGCUGCUUUGUUCUGUGGCCUUAGCACCCUCUGGUGGUCAAAAGGCAGAACUGCACCAACAUUUCAGCAGAAGCUUUUUUCUGGGCUAAAAACGUGCAUGGCUCAUUAAUUAUGUGCAUGCACUGUAGCAAAGAAUUCCCCCAGGAGUAUAUAAUAUAAAGACUACUGCCAAGUUUAACUGUUACUUUAGAGUACAUCAUGGUGGUUUUACUUAGUUUUCCACAACUGUGAAAUAGAAUGUUGUACACUAUGAGAUUGGCAUCCUUGAUUCCACAUUUGCCAUCUUGCAAGAUAAGAAGAGAACAAAAGUAAAGGGCUCUAUACCUUUCACCACCAUGUACGUUUCGACUGGUUUCCAGGCGCCAUUCCAGCUCUCAUUUUUGAACGUGUAAGGUUUGGGCAUCAUGGCCAUUUAUUUAUUCUUUUUCAUUGGGCACAUUAUGGCUGCUUGGGUUUUUUUCACAUUUAGAGCCAUUUAAAAAAAUUAGGGUUAGAAAUAACAUUUUUCAGAAGAAAGUAGGCUUUUUAAACAUUUAGGGCCUUUUAAAUAAAGUUUAAUAAACAGAGAAAUAAAAUGUUAAGACAUAAAUAUGUUAACAGACCUUUUUUAAAUGGAAAAAAUACAUUUUAUGCAUUUUUUUAAAUAAAGACAUUAAAUAUUAGUAACAGAACACAUGCUUUUAGAGAAAAAUAAAGAAGGGAGUGGUUG